rnacentral:ncRNA from 1 species
CUCGGUCAAGGGCACACCCGUCGAAAGACGGGGCCGCAAAGCCACCGGGUUAAAUCCUCCAGCGAGGACAGACCAGCGGGGCUGCCGAU